GAUGAAGAACGUAGCGAAAUGCGAUAAGUAAUGUGAAUUGCAGAAUUCAGUGAAUCAUCGAAUCUUUGAACGCACCUUGCGCCCUUUGGCCAUUCCGAAGGGCAUGCCUGUUUGAGUAUCAUGAACGCCUCAACUCUUUAUGGUUUUCCAUGAUGAGCUUGGACUCUGGGGGUUUUGCUGGCUCACAGUCGGCUCCUCUAAAAUAAAUCAGCUUACCAGUGUUUGGUGGGUAUCAUGGGUGUGAUAACUAUCUACGCUUGUGGUUUUUCCACCAGGUAACCUUCAGCAGUGGAGGUUCGCUGGAGCUCAUAGACGUCUCUCCUCAGUGAGGACAGCCCUUUGAACGUUUGAUCUCAAAUCAGGUAGGACUACCCGCUGAACUUAAGCAUAUCAAUAAGCGGAGGA
rnacentral:misc_RNA from 1 species